AAAUCUUUCUUUCACCAUUCCCUAAAUCUUCCUAUAUAUAGUUCAGCAAUUGCACCAACCUUUCGAAUAGGUGGUACCUUCCGAAAUUCACCGAUUUCUGCAGAAUUCAUGGCCGCCAACGCUCUCACCACACUUUUCUUUAUCGUCUUACUUUCAACUUCAUCCAUCUCAUCUGCAACAUCAAGAAUAGUUCCCCGGACAAGAAGUAAGUUUCGUAGUCCAAUACCUUAAAUAAGCUCUGAUAUCUUGGUUUAUCGCUUUAUGUAUGUUGUACUCUGGUCUUAUGCAGAUGGAUUUCGGGGUAAAGCUGCCAAUCUUUUAGAGGUAAAGAUAGGCCCAGGUGCCUAUCCAUCACCACGUUCUGGAGGCCAGAGUGUUCCUCCCCCGCCUUCCUCCACGUAGCCUUAGAUGAUUGAUAUCCUACAAUCAGAUGAUACUUCAGGAUUUGGGCUGGGAUAUUACUUAUUUUUAUAAUUGUUUGUAAGCCUAUAUACGAAUGUGCAUCUCAAGGAUCAAAAUUAUCUGUUUUUAUAUGUCUUCGUUUUGCUUAUGGAGAGCUGUAUAUUCAGUUUCCUCUUGUUUGUUUUGUGGUUCAUUUGGAUGGUGCUCGAUUUGUUCAUGGUCGGUAAAUAUCUAAACAAUGAUCCCACGACUGAUGCAUAACGUAGCCGGUUAUAUCCAUGUAAAUUGAUGCCUUUGCUAAGUUGAUGGAUUCAAAUCACUUAUCAUGUCUGCUCUAUAAAUCUAAGGGUUUUUCUAGCAGGUGUUUUUAUGGACAUUCGAUUAAC
rnacentral:lncRNA from 1 species